GAGCCUGCUCGUCGAGAAGACGCGACAAUUCCAUCGAGCGCCCGGCGAGCAUCGAGUUGAGUUCGCGGGUGCUUUCGUCGAGCGUGCUGCGGAUGGACUGACC
rnacentral:sRNA from 1 species